UGGUGGAGUGAUUUGUCUGGUUAAUUCCGUUAACGAACGAGACUUUGACAUACUAAUUAGAAUCUGUGGUUGUGGCUGCAUUCAGCUUCUUAGGUGAACUUUGUGCUUCCAGCGCAAGGAAGUUCGAAGCAAUAACA
rnacentral:rRNA from 1 species